AGAGGAGAAUGUUCCACUACCUUUGUGAACAGCUGAUAAAAAGACGCCCGGCUGGCUUCAGGACCAUGGAAAGCUCCGAGGACGGGAAGGCUGCUGGAGGAAGGAGGGCCCAAGAGGGAGGAGGGAGGUAGAGAGGUCUGAGGAUUGUGCCAAAACCUGGGCAUAAACUGAAGAAGAGAAUAAUCAUGUUCUUCCCCCAUGAUGUGGACAGUCCAGGGGGGAUGACAGGGAUGACAGCAUACAGCCAGAGUGCAAACAAGGAGAUGGUCCCCAACAGUGAUGAAGGCCAUAAAGCCACCUGUAGAACACCGGAUGGACACCUGUAGAAGGUUCUGUGGGUAUCUCGCACCCUUCUACACCCGCUGCAUCUGGAUACCCAAGACAGCUGUGCAGUGCCCAGUUGUGUGUGGCCCUGGCCACUGGGAAAGCAUCCUUCGGUGAAUGGCAGGAGAGCAUCGGUAGACAAAUGUCUAGUGUUGCUAGAAUGCUUUCUUCUGCUCAGGAAACCAUUAGCCAGUGAGACAAUUCACAGUCCUGGGGGGAGUCAUGCAAGGGGGUAGCUGAGAGGUUAUUCGAAGUUCAGACCCCCCCCCCAGCCCAGGUCCUCAUCUCAGCCGAAGACAGAGGUGGCAUAAAACCCAGGCUCCUAAAUGUCAGGCUGGGAAAGACCCCAACUUUGUUUGAAAGCACCCCCACCUCCAGCUUGGCCAAUGGAAUCCACAGCGAUGGUGGCAGUGCUCCACAGCAUGAUCACUGGCCACACAGGGCCACAGAACACUGAAAAUGUGGUUCGUCGGACUGGAUUCUUUUCAUUGUGUUUAGCUUUUCAUUGUAACUAAUCUUAAUGAAUUGAAGUGUAAGUGGCCCUGUCAGGCUGAUGGCUACCGUUCUGGACGAUGGGGGCAAAAUCCCAAGGCAGAACACAUGGACACCUUCAUGCAGCAACUAAGUUCCCCAGAGAAAGCUGAGCUGACCUCUGUCACGUCCUUGGUGCUCCCAUUCUGCCGUCUACCUGCAAGGCUCAGAUCUUCCAAGAACUGUGUGCUGGCCUACAUGGCUAUCUCCCCUUCCUGUCAUGGUUCCCCCUAAGAAGAGAGACUUCCUCGAGUGACUCAUCCUGCGGUCUUCUAAAGUGCCCUUCCGCCUGCGCCCAGGCCACUCUGCAAGGCUGGGGAAGAAGUCAGAGCUACUUCUUGCCAUUUUGGGGACAUCUAAAUGCAAUCUGCCUCCUACUGAGGGCCCUGGAGCAGCGGGAGGAAAGGCCUGCUGUGGGGCCAGCUGGACGCCAUGUGGCCAGGUCUGUUACAGCCAGUGAAAGCCUUGGCGAUGGGAAAGGCAGGCUUUUGUGUACCCUGAAGAGUGCAGGGACCCGUUUUGUGAGAGUUGAAUAGAAAGAAUUUACUCCCUAACAUCAAGCUGUGAUAGUCCUUAAGUGGUGACUCCCAGCAACCCUCAGCCUAGGCUGUUCUCCCUCUGCCUUUGGAUCCACACCAAGCCUCGCCCUUGAGCUCCCCAGCUCAGCUGAGUCCAUCCUUUGCCCCUCCCCCAGCCCAGCCCAACCCCAUCCUGUAAUGAACAGGCCUUGUCUGAGAAAUUCUGGAUUCUCUUCUUCCCCCAACCCCUGCUCUCACCCACCCUGUCUUGAACAGGCUAGGCCAUGUUGGGUUGCUCUUACAAUCCACCAGGCCAGUGACCAAACAACCAAGGCUCAUGACCCAUGCAACCAGGACACAUGCUCCGAGUCCCUUGCAGCAGCCGCCACCUCCAGCUGUGGCCUGUGAGGGAGGGAAUGUGCUGUGCAGCAUCCUUCAGCAGAGGUUCUGAGCACCAUCCCAGAACCAGCUGCAGGGCCUGCCUUGGAACAACAGCCUCUGUGAGCUUUGGAUGCACACAGAAAGUUACCGCUGACACGGGCCUGAGCCGUUUCUGAGAGGUAGGGAAACAGGACAGGAGCAGAGCUGACAACCAUGGCACAAACCCAACAAGGGAGGUUCUAGUAGUGAGCUCAGUAACACGCACGAGCCCUCUGCCUCUCAACAGCGACGCCUGUUGGUCCAGAAGAGCCAUCGACUGAAGAGCCCAGGUGAGCGCUCAAGAGCUGCUCUCCCAGCUCCCUGCCUAACCAGGCAACAGUCACAGCCAGGACAGCGUCCUAGAUGAGACACCAUCGGAACGCUACACAGAGUUUUCUCGGUGGCUCACCAGCGGGCUCUGUCACAGUCAUGUCACUGAUGCCAACACAGCGUCAUGGACACUCCCGCCAAAGACCUACAGGAUGAGUCAACGGGACAUUUCACAGGCUUCCACAGGGCCACUCACAAUCAUCCCGCCAUCCAGGCAGGGGGCACGGAGCGUGGGCACCGUGGAUUCAGCGUCCUUGUGGGCACUGUGCUGUUGCAGGUCGAGCCCCUUGGGACACACACAGCAGUGUGUCCUCUCCUCCGGCUGUUGGCCGUACACUGGCAGGGGAGAUGGCUGAUGCUCAGUAAAGCAGUCAUUGAAUGAAUAAAAACAGAAUAAAUAAAAACAGAGGAAAAUGACAUUUGGGGGUCUAAUGAACUCCAAUCAUUUUUUUUUUUUUAAUCUUUGAUGGCUAGUGGCUGCUGCCACACUGCCUGGAUGAUGACACACUUGGGGAAUCGCUGGACAUUCUACGGUGUCACCUUCUGUGAGAUAAGGCUCGUGCCGUCCGAGGGGUGUGGGUUUGAGGACACAGACAUC